rnacentral:rRNA from 1 species
CGCGCCUAACACAUGCAAGUCGAACGGAGAUCAUUUGGUAGAAGUUUUCGGAUGGACACUGAGUGAUCUUAGUGGCGAACGGGUGAGUAACGCGUGAGCAAUCUGCCUCAGAGUGGGGGACAACAGUUGGAAACGACUGCUAAUACCGCAUAAGCCCACAGCACCGCAUGGUGCAGGGGGAAAAGAUUUAUUGCUUUGAGAUGAGCUCGCGUCCAAUUAGCUAGUUGGUGAGGUAACGGCCCACCAAGGCGACGAUUGGUGGCCGGACUGAGAGGUUGAACGGCCACAUUGGGACUGAGAUACGGCCCAGACUCCUACGGGAGGCAGCAGUGGGGAAUAUUGCACAAUGGGGGGAACCCUGAUGCAGCGACGCCGCGUGGAGGAAGAAGGUCUUCGGAUUGUAAACUCCUGUUGUUAGGGACGAUAAUGACGGUACCUAACAAGGAAGCACCGGCUAACUACGUGCCAGCAGCCGCAGUAA